GUUGAACGGGAUUCGUGCUCAACACCGAGCAUUUGGAAUGGUCAGAAGCGUAUAAGCGCGAAGCGUUUUACACGAAGAAGCCACAGCCAAUGCUGGGUGUUGAGCAUGAUGAGAGUAGCGGACGGGCGAGUAACGCGUGAGUAACCUGCCCUUUGCUGGGGGAUAACAUCGGGAAACCGGUGCUAAUACCGCAUAAGACCACAGUGCCACAUGGUACGGCGGUCAAAGCUCCGGCGGCAGAGGAUGGACUCGCGUCCAAUUAGCUAGUUGGUAGGGUAAUGGCCUACCAAGGCGACGAUUGGUAUCCGAACUGAGAGGUUGAUCGGACGCAUUGGGACUGAGACACGGCCCAGACUCCUACGGGAGGCAGCAGUGGGGAAUAUUGCGCAAUGGGGGCAACCCUGACGCAGCAACGCCGCGUGAAGGAUGAAGGCUUUCGGGUUGUAAACUUCUUUGAUCGGGGACGAAGAUGACGGUACCCGAGGAACAAGCCACGGCUAACUACGUGCCAGCAGCCGCGGUAAUACGUAGGUGGCAAGCGUUGUCCGGAAUUACUGGGUGUAAAGGGCGUGUAGGCGGGGAGACAAGUCAGAUGUGAAAUACCGUGGCUUAACUGCGGGGGUGCAUCUGAAACUGUUUCUCUUGAGUGUCGGAGAGGAAAGUGGAAUUCCCAGUGUAGCGGUGAAAUGCGUAGAGAUUGGGAGGA
rnacentral:rRNA from 1 species